UCUCAGCACACACAGAACUGCAGGGCUGCCCUCCUUCCCAGCUCCUCCCAGAAACAGACAGGUGGGACAGAAGAAAUCCUCAGUGUUGGAAGCUGACCACUAAAACCUGGCUAGAGAGAGCCAGGGUACUCAGGACUUGGGGAAGAGUUGAAGUAUAAUGUUGGAGAAAGACCCUAUGGGGAGCCUCACUUGACUAGAAGAAGAAUUAAUUUUUCCUUGGACCCAGGAAUCUGCUGAGGUGUUCACAGCCGCCUGCGCCUGCCAUGUCAGAUAGUAAAAGUGGUGUGAUGAUGACCAAGUGGGACGUGUCUCCAUAUGGCUGUGAACACUGUGGAUGCCCUCCGCUGCACCUUCUGAAGCGUGAAUGUUUCUUCUUUGGCAGAUGUAGAAUUGAGUAAAUAAACCUUGCCUCAAUGGAGAGAGACAUUUUAGAAUGACCUUCUGUCUGAAAAGUUCAUCCAGAGAGUCAUCACUUUGUACCCCUGAUCAGCGUGCUAAGCAAAGAGCAGCUGUGACUCAGCCUGGUGCACUGAAGAGAUGGUUCCUGGUUCUUUUAAAGGGCACCUGUGUCCAUUUUGCUGCUGUGGACAUCCAUCUUUCGUUAACAUUCCUAAAUUAAAAUUGAAGGCUUUAGGAAGAGUCGUUAUUAUUAUGAAGUUAUAUUAAGAAAUAAUAGCCUUUAAAAUAUAUUAACACAUUCUUAACAAAUGUUAUUGGGACAGGAAAAUAAAGCAAACAAAAAGAUAUGAACAGAAGGGAUUCUGUAGGAUUUGUAGUUGAUUCAUUCAUUCUCUUUCUUUCAGACCAUUUCUUUCUGCU